rnacentral:rRNA from 1 species
UACGUAGGGGGGCAAGCGUUGUCCGGAAUCAUUGGGCGUAAAGCGCGUGUAGGCGGCUCGGUAAGUCCGCUCUGAAAAGUCCAGGGCUCAACCCUGGGAUGCGGGUGGAUACUGCCGGGCUCGAGUCCGGAAGAGGCGAGUGGAAUUCCCGGUGUAGCGGUGAAAUGCGCAGAUAUCGGGAGGAACACCAAUGGCGAAGGCAGCUCGCUGGGACGUGACUGACGCUGAGACGCGAAAGCGUGGGGAGCAAACAGG